GACGAACCGUGCGAACGUUGUUCGGAUUCACUGGGCUUAAAGGGCGCGUAGGCGGGUGAUCGAGUCUGGGGUGAAAUCCUCUCGCUUAACGAGAGAACUGCCUUAGAUACUGGUCAUCUCGAGGAAGGUAGGGGCAUGUGGAACUUCCGGUGGAGCGGUGAAAUGCGUAGAUAUCGGAAGGAACACCAGUGGCGAAAGCGGCUUCCUGGUCCAGCACCGACGUCAGGCACGAAAGCGUGGGGAGCAAACAGGG
rnacentral:rRNA from 1 species